UUGCUUCAACAACACAUAUCCUAAAAUUUGGAAAAAUACUGAUGAGAUUAGCAUGACCUCCAUGCAAGGAUUUCAAACAAAUUUGUGAAGCAUUCCAUAUUUUA
rnacentral:snRNA from 1 species